rnacentral:rRNA from 1 species
UACGUAGGGUGCGAGCGUUAAUCGGAAUUACUGGGCGUAAAGCGUGCGCAGGCGGUUUUGUAAGCCAGAUGUGAAAUCCCCGGGCUUAACCUGGGAAUGGCAUUUGGGACUGCAAGGCUGGAGUGUGGCAGAGGAGACUGGAAUUCCCGGUGUAGCAGUGAAAUGCGUAGAUAUCGGGAGGAAUACCGAUGGCGAAGGCAGGUCUCUGGGCUGACACUGACGCUGAGGAGCGAAAGCGUGGGGAGCGAACAGG